GGAGUCUAGCAUGUGCGCGAGUCAUUGGGACUCGAGCGAAACCUAAAGGCAAAAUGAAAGUGAAGGUUGGCGAUUUCGUUGCGAACCGAGGGAGGAUGGGUCGCGCUCGUCGCGGCCCCGCACUCCCGGGGCGUUUCGUUCUCAUAGCGAGAAGAGGCGCACCCAGAGCGUACACGCUGGGACCCGAAAGAUGGUGAACUAUGCCUGGUCAGGACGAAGUCAGGGGAAACCCUGAUGGAGGUCCGUAGCGAUUCUGACGUGCAAAUCGAUCGUCGGAACUGGGUAUAGGGGCGAAAGACUAAUCGAACCAUCUAGUAGCUGGUUCCCUCCGAAGUUUCCCUCAGGAUAGCUGGCGCUCGUUUUAUGCGAGUGUCAUCCGGUAAAGCGAAUGAUUAGAGGCAUUGGGGUCGAAACGGCCUCAACCUAUUCUCAAACUUUAAAUGGGUGAGAACUCCGGCUUGCUCGAUCAAUGAAGCCGCGAGUAUUAAUGUUACGUUGCACAUUGUGGUAGCGUCGCAUUAGACGGAUCAGAGUGCCAAGUGGGCCACUUUUGGUAAGCAGAACUGGCGCUGUGGGAUGAACCAAACGCAGAGUUAAAGCGCCAAAAUCGACGCUUAUGGGAUACCAUGAAAGGCGUUGGUAACUUAAGACAGCAGGACGGUGGCCAUGGAA
rnacentral:rRNA from 1 species